rnacentral:rRNA from 1 species
UACGGAGGGUGCGAGCGUUGUCCGGAAUCAUUGGGCGUAAAGGGCGCGUAGGUGGCGGGACAAGCGUGCGGUGAAAGCUCGGGGCUCAACCCCGGGUCGGCCGUGCGAAGCUGUUUUGCUUGAGCACUGUAGAGGCAGGCGGAAUUCCGGGUGUAGCGGUGGAAUGCGUAGAGAUCCGGAAGAACACCGGUGGCGAAGGCGGCGACCUGGUCCGAUACUGACGCUGAGGCGCGAAAGCGUGGGGAGCAAACAGG